GGAUUACAGGCGCCCACCACCACGCCCAGCUAAUUUUUUGUAUUUUUAGUAGAGACGGGGUUUCACCGUGGUCUCGAUCUCCUGACCUCGUGAUCCGCCUGCCUCGGCCUCCCAAAGUGCUGGGAUUACAAGCUUGAGCCACCGCACCGGGCCCUGAGAUGUCUCCAAGUGGUGGUGAGACAUCAUCAAAUCCUAAGAAACAAUAUACUUGAAGAUUUUUCACUCACUGCAUCAAAGGUCACCAAGGUCUCCAUAUCCCCACGUCGCCAUUCCUAACAAGAAUGAGGCAGAUGAAAACCAUACACAAAAACACGACAAAUAGAAAAGAGAUUCCACCAAAAGCAAUCAUCAAGAAAAUGUCUCCAGCAAGAUUCCCGUUGUUGUAAAGGGGCGUGUAAGUAAUUUGCACUCAAACAACUCCAGAAGUGCUUGCCUGAUGAAA
rnacentral:lncRNA from 1 species